GUAUUUGACAUGCACAUUUGAAGGAGCACAUGAGAAAGCCACCUGACUAGGCAGUGUGAUAGGAUUGCUGAUUUCUGCUGAUGGCCAUGCCUACCUUACUCUCGGAUUCUGGGAUUUUACAUUUGCAUGAAACAUCUCUCCUUGUGCUAACUCCUGAUUUGAUCUGCAUAACAUCACCAAAGUGUUUCUAGUCAUCUAGAGUUCUUGGAAACUGAGGCCGUGAAUCAUUGAAAGACCUAUUGGAAGCAUUUUGAGAAACUGGGUGCCCAUCUGGCCUGUCAUUGGCAGGGGCUCUGGACUGGGAUGGAAGUCUCCCAUAUCCAUGUGUCUGGGCAAAAUGCAAAUGGCGGUAACCACAACCAGCUCCUUAUUUCUCACUGAUGGUGCUCAGAGACCCAGCAACAUUCACCCUGGAAGUAAUCCAGUGGUUUUGACAUAAACUCUGAGGUGGGGCUUGGUUUUUCAAGAAACCUCUGCUGCCAAGGCAAGUUGAUUCCGAAUGCUGGGAACCAUGAAGUGGCCACCACCACAUGGAGCAGUUGAGACCCACAGUGAGGAGCAACUUUCCUUCCUACAGAGGGAUCCAAACCUCCUUUAUACAGCCCAUUUGCUGGGGGCAGCUGAUUCUGUUUCUGGCUACUGAGAUGGGGCACGUACCCAGGUGGAGCCUAUACCAAUGAUGGAAAACCAUUCCCUGAUGAAAGUUAUUGCAUCCAGGGUGGGUAGUGAGCCUGCAGGUCAUGUUUGCUGAUACAUUUCUGGGAAAGAAGUGUCCUCUGUUUUAGAAAAACUGGGAAACCAGCUUCUUUCUCUAUCCUUAAAUGUGAAUGGAGGCAGAGACCAGGCAGGUUGUGGACAGCCAAAAUAGGAUUGCUGGGAUUGAAGAUGACAUUGCCAAGGGCAGACAGAUGUCGAAGUAAACCUGGUCUCUGAUGACACUGUUGAGCAAUUGAACUGAAUCAUUCCUGAAACUAACCUUACUUCUAGCAUUCAGUCAUGUGAGCUAUUAAUUCUCUUUUAUCGUUCGAGUUUUUUUUUUCUCACUCAGUGGAAACUAUUCAUGGCCACAGUAAGGGAAGAUAAUAUUUCUUUCUCAAAAGCUAACUAGAACUUUGAUAGAGUAUAGUUAUUAUGCUUGGAAAGAACUAAUUAGAUCUCAGUAUUCGAGAGCUAUGUGAUAACUGGUUCAUGUUAUAUUUACAGCUCUAUAUUCAAAUAAAACCCAAAUGUCAGAUGCUUGAAUAUGAAUAUAAGAAUAUCAGGACCUGCUGUUACUGCAGCUGAAACUGAAUUGUAGUUCUCUGAGGGAGAGUCAAUAAUUUUCUUUUAAGCCAGACUCAAGAUUCCUAAAUGUACUUCCAAAUAACAAAUAAUAAAUGGCCAAGGAAAAUAUUUUUAAAAUACCUCUAUGGAGGACAAAAAUUAGGGGGAGAAUGCCACUUGUCUGUUAUAUAAGAGUUGUAGCUGAUAAAAGUUUAAUUUAUCACUUCAUGUUUAUGAUAAAAUGUAACAUAACUCAUUAAUUGCAUCCAUUAAUCAUCUCUCAUUCAUAAAAAUGGCAUAUGUGUUGAAGAGCUACAUAAUUCUUUACCAUGUGUAGUAUUAUAGUGAUAAUCUAUAAAUAAUAUAAAAGUUUGCAGAAAACUAAAGUAUAUGGAACUGUAGAAAGAGAUAAAUUUUUAAAUAUUUACGGUUUUGCUCUGCUCCUUUAAUGAACUGGUGUUUUAGCCAUUUGAGCCACCUAGUGGUAAUAGACAUGAGAUAUGAUAUCUUAUUCUGAAAAACAAUGUUAAAGUUUAACAGUUUCCAAUUUAGAAGAAUUGAACUAAGUAAAGCGAAUCAUAACCGUUAUAUAUUAUAUAUUUAGCUUUUGAAUUAAUAUUUCUUUAUUGGUAGAAGAUUAUGAGAAAAUAAAUUAUAAAAAAUUUUUUACUUAUUUUAUUUCUUCUAAUAGAGGCCACAUAACCAAGCAAAUUAAAAUGAUAAAAAAAUUAUAAUUGAAGCAGAUUCUUUUGAAAGGUAUAAGAAAGAAAAGGCGAUCAAAUAUUUAGUGGACUAAGAUGAAUAAUGGAUUUUCCAACUUAAUUGUAUUCAAAUGUAACCUUAGGUAAGUGGUCUCGGGUGUAGUCAUAUUCUCUAAAUCUGUCUUCUAGCCAGUCAUUAUUAGUCUGUCUUCUUAUAUUUAAAGAACAAAACUGAAUCACUAAUCUGCUCAGUGGUCCAUUAGAAAUACUCUGUAACCAGAUUACACUGUGUCUAAUUUUAGAUUUCUUUAACUGGGAACUGUAGAUCAAAGCAAGUUUCCAUUUUGGCUCUGCUCUGGUAUAAUAACUUCCAGCAGAGCCAAAUCAUGAAAUACUGCUAACUUCAUGUGUUAGAAUCCACAUUCAUCUUUGCCUUGUUAACUUUUAAGGAGUUUUUUAUUUGUUGUUCCGAGAAUGCCAGGUUCUUUGGUUUCCUGCUUUCUUAAAUUGCCAUAUGUCUCUAAAUAGGUUUUUUUUCCCCCCAUAAUCAGAAUUAGCACAAAGAUAGAUAGAUUUGUCUUCUUUGAAUUCACCAGCCUCUCUGCUUGGUAGGAUUGCAAAACUAUCUUAUGAACCCAGCAGAGAAAAUAUCCUCUCUUCUUGAUGAUCCUGCUUGUUGGAACUCUGACCUUCUCCAUUUCUUCUGUGGUUUCAGUGGAUAAGCUGAAGACAAAUCUUCACAUGUGGUUCCUGGAAGCAAUGGCAUCUAAAGCUGAUCUAAAGUCUAGAGGAUUGAAGAGUGUCAGCUAAGAGCAGACAAAACCUUUAAGGAGUAAUUGAGCAGGGUACAAAGGCAAUAGAGUCUAAAAGAGGAAGACCUUCCCUAAUAUAUAAGAUACCCAGGAAGAUCAGUGGGGGAACAAGAUAAUGGAGGGAGAAUUCUGCUACAACAGAAUGGUGUCUGUUAUUUUGCACCCCCCCUUUUUUUUUAAAAGAAAUACCUUUUUUUUUUUCUGGACAGAAUGUGUGAAUUGAGGGGUAGAGGUGUUUGCUAGGCUGGGCCAAUCAGAGAAUUCCAUGAGUCGUUUUGAAAUUAGUUCUGGUGAGAAGUCUGAGAUAUCCUCUGGUGUCAAACUUAGGAGAUGUGAAUUGUGGUACUGCUUCCUGCUUUAUGUAGAAAAUCCAUCCAGAAAAUGAGAUGAUAGCCGAGAGCAGAAACAGGCAGAGACACAGAGGAGGGAAUACGUCUGAGCCAUGCUUUUUGGAACCAGCACAUUUCCCCUUUUACCGCAGCUAGUUGGAGUUGAAUUUCUGUCACUUAUAACCCAAAGAGUCCUGAUUAGUACAGAACAGAUACUGCCUGCAUAGUCAAGUAACUUGUUCAGUGAACAGAAUAUUCUGGAAGGUGAGAGAAAAGAACAGUUUCCAGAAUCCUGAGAAUCAGGAAGACAAUGAUCAGCAGUCCCCACCAAGACCUGAUAUUAAUCAAAACAGGGUAAUUGACUGCAUUUAAUAUUCAUAAGACACUGAGAGAAGGUGUGACUACAUGGGUGUCUGAAGAAUUGCAGGAGAUGAACUUUUCAUUUACCUUAAAAUGCUCAUUCCAGACCACGCAUGUUUUCUUCAUUUCUUAAUAUCAAAAUAUUUUACUAAUAUAUCGUGAUGACUAACUUUUGGAAGUAGGAAGUACCAGGAUGCCUAAUAGUAGCUUCUGGGUUGGGGCUGAGGCUGUGUCAAUAUUGCAUCUGUUAUGCUCAUGGCCCUAUUUCAGUAAAACCACUCCAUUGAGCGAAUGAGGCUUUUCCAAAACCUUCAGCCCCCAGCCGUGUUUGGUAUCAGUGACCUGCCUGUCCCCUUCCUGUCCCCUUCUCACUCAUAGCUUGUUAGGAUAAUUCAAAAUUUGAAAAAUUGAGUCUUCCAUUUUUCAAAUUUUGAAUUUUCAAAUUCGAAAUUUGAAAUUUCAGAAUUUGAAAAAUGGAAGACUAAGCACACAAAAUUCCAAAAUGAACUUCAAAAAUGCACAGAGACUGCAGAACAGUAAGUAAACUCGCUUAGAGAAUAUGAGGGAGCAGGGCCUUCCUUUUUUCUGGAUGGAUUUUUAAUGCAGAGUCGUAGACAUCAGCUAAUGCUAGGGCCUGGCUCAUAUUCAGGUGGCCUUGGUUUCCCACCUUCAUCUC
ensembl:lncRNA